GACGAACGCUGGCGGCGUGCUUAACACAUGCAAGUCGAACGGAAAGGCCCCCUUGUGGGGUACUCGAGUGGCGAACGGGUGAGUAACACGUGAGUAACCUACCCUUGACUUUGGGAUAACUUCAGGAAACUGGGGCUAAUACCGGAUAGGAGCUCCUGCUGCAUGGUGGGGGUUGGAAAGUUUCGGCGGUUGGGGAUGGACUCGCGGCUUAUCAGCUUGUUGGUGGGGUAGUGGCUCACCAAGGCUUUGACGGGUAGCCGGCCUGAGAGGGUGACCGGCCACAUUGGGACUGAGAUACGGCCCAGACUCCUACGGGAGGCAGCAGUGGGGAAUAUUGCACAAUGGGCGGAAGCCAGAUGCAGCAACGCCGCGUGCGGGAUGACGGCCUUCGGGUUGUAAACCGCUUUCGCCUGUGACGAAGCGUGAGUGACGGUAAUGGGUAAAGAAGCACCGGCUAACUACGUG
rnacentral:rRNA from 1 species